rnacentral:rRNA from 1 species
UACGGGGGGGGGCAAGCGUUGUUCGGAAUUACUGGGCGUAAAGGGCUCGUAGGCGGCCAACUAAGUCAGACGUGAAAUCCCUCGGCUUAACCGGGGAACUGCGUCUGAUACUGGAUGGCUUGAGGUUGGGAGAGGGAUGCGGAAUUCCAGGUGUAGCGGUGAAAUGCGCAGAUAUCAGGAGGAACACCGGUGGCGAAGGCGGGUCUCUGGGCCGUAACUGACGCUGAGGAGCGAAAGCAUGGGGAGCGAACAGG